GAAGUCAUGUAUAGUUCAUAUGAACAAUAAUUCAAGCGACCAAUAGUUCAAACAAACAAUAGUUCAAACGUCAGUUGUUCAAACAAAUCUCCACCCCUCAUUAUGUAAUUAACGUUUUGGACUCUAAUCGGGUUUUCUUGUCAUGUAAUAUUGUCUUAAACUAUAUUUGAAAUUUAAUUUUAAAUUCAUGACUUGGUCAACAAAACUGAGAAAUUUAAAGCAAAGUUUAUUUGUGCUGAAUCUUAGAUCCACAAGGAGGCAUACGAAUAUCCAUGUAGAGGAGUGGGAAAAAUAGUUAUAGCAUUUUUCGGAUUAAAGGCUCUCUCUAUGAUUCGUUCGCCUGAAUACUCACCAUGAAAAUAGGGCCGCACGGUGGGUGUUCUACGAAUUAAUAGAUGUCGUAUUCAUAGAGAGGUUGCGUGACUUAACUUCCGGGAUUUGGCUUUCACUCGUUAAUAUCUCUCGUGUUUUACAAAUUUUCCUCAGUUUAAUAUAAAUUGUGAAACAGUAAUAGCCGGAAAAAAUUAGAAUCUGUUUUCUGUUUGUUUACUGUAUGUCUACUGGAUGACAUAAAUAAAUCUAAGGCACAUA